rnacentral:rRNA from 1 species
GUCCACGCCCUAAACGAUGUCAACUGGUUGUUGGAAGGGUUCCCUUUCAGUAACGAAGCUAACGCGUGAAGUUGACCGCCUGGGGAGUACGGCCGCAAGGUUGAAACUCAAAGGAAUUGACGGGGACCCGGCACAAGCGGUGGAUGAUGUGGUUUAAUUCGAUGCAACGCGAAAAACCUUAACCUACCCUUGACAUGUCUAGAAUUUCGCAGAGAUGUGAAAGUGCUCGAAAGAGAACCAGAACACAGGUGCUGCAUGGCCGUCGU